CGAUGCAACGCGAAGAACCUUACCUACUCUUGACAUCCACGGAAUUUGGCAGAGAUGCCUUAGUGCCUUCGGGAACCGUGAGACAGGUGCUGCAUGGCUGUCGUCAGCUCGUGUUGUGAAAUGUUGGGUUAAGUCCCGCAACGAGCGCAACCCUUAUCCUUUGUUGCCAGCGAUUCGGUCGGGAACUCAAAGGAGACUGCCGGUGAUAAACCGGAGGAAGGUGGGGAUGACGUCAAGUCAUCAUGGCCCUUACGAGUAGGGCUACACACGUGCUACAAUGGCGCAUACAAAGAGAAGCGA
rnacentral:rRNA from 1 species